rnacentral:rRNA from 1 species
UACGUAGGGCGCAAGCGUUGUCCGGAAUUAUUGGGCGUAAAGAGCUCGUAGGCGGUUUGUCACGUCGGAUGUGAAAGCCCGGGGCUUAACCCCGGGUCUGCAUUCGAUACGGGCAGACUGGAGGUAUGCAGGGGAGAACGGAAUUCCUGGUGUAGCGGUGAAAUGCGCAGAUAUCAGGAGGAACACCAAUAGCGAAGGCAGCUCGCUGGGACGUUACUGACACUGAGGCGCGAAAGCGUGGGGAGCGAACAGG